GCCAACGUUCAUAUCACGUUGAAUACACCAGUUCUCGUCCGAUCACUGAAGUUAAGCAACGUUGAGCGUGGA
rfam:Asian citrus Psyllid, Diaphorina citri - Florida Strain, whole genome shotgun sequence.